GAUGAACGCUGGCGGCGUGCUUAACACAUGCAAGUCGAACGGUGAACACGGAGCUUGCUCUGUGGGAUCAGUGGCGAACGGGUGAGUAACACGUGAGCAACCUGCCCCUGACUCUGGGAUAAGCGCUGGAAACGGCGUCUAAUACUGGAUAUGUGACGUGACCGCAUGGUCUGCGUUUGGAAAGAUUUUUCGGUUGGGGAUGGGCUCGCGGCCUAUCAGCUUGUUGGUGAGGUAAUGGCUCACCAAGGCGUCGACGGGUAGCCGGCCUGAGAGGGUGACCGGCCACACUGGGACUGAGACACGGCCCAGACUCCUACGGGAGGCAGCAGUGGGGAAUAUUGCACAAUGGGCGCAAGCCUGAUGCAGCAACGCCGCGUGAGGGAUGACGGCCUUCGGGUUGUAAACCUCUUUUAGCAGGGAAGAAGCGAAAGGGACGGUACCUGCAGAAAAAGCGCCGGCUAACUACGU
rnacentral:rRNA from 1 species